rnacentral:rRNA from 1 species
CCCCUUCCUCUUACAACGGUGUGGUCCAUUCGCCUACCUCUGAAGAUUAGGAUCUUCAUGUGGCAAUGGAUCCGCGGCCGGACCCCAUCCGGUGUGGAUUUCAGAAAGCGCAAUGGUCCUGGUAACGGUCUUUGUCCGCUCUGUGGCGUCUUAGAAGACUCGAAUCACAUUUUCUUCUCCUGUGUGUCCGUCAAAUUUAUUUGGAGCUGCUUUAGAGAGGUGAUUGGCGGCCAUUGGUGCCACACCAAUUUCCAUGUCCUGUUCGCAGAACUCCAGGCCUUCCCCUGCGUACUCGCCACAUUAGGUGGUUGGAGGUUGGGUUCCUCGCCUGGACCCUCUGGACGAUCCGAAAUAGACUUGUGA